rnacentral:rRNA from 1 species
GAAUGUCUAAACGACUCUCGGCAACGGAUAUCUCGGCUCUCGCAUCGAUGAAGAACGUAGCGAAAUGCGAUACUUGGUGUGAAUUGCAGAAUCCCGUGAACCAUCGAGUCUUUGAACGCAAGUUGCGCCCGAAGCCACUAGGCCGAGGGCACGCCUGCCUGGGUGUCACGCAUCGCGUCGCCCCCUCCCCGCGCCCAAACGCGCGGCGGUGGUGGAAAGUGGUCCCCCGUGCGCGGUGUCGCGCGGUCGGCCCAAAUGUGAUCCCCGGCGACGCACGUCACGACAAGUGGUGGUUGUACCCUCAACGCGCUUUGUCGUGCACCACCGUGUCGGGACGCAUGAUCAGACCCAAUGGCACGUGCGAGCACGUCGCCUUCGACCGCGACCCCAGGUCAGGCGGGAUCACCCGCUGAGUUUAAGCAUAUCAAUAAGUAGAGGAAAAGAAACUUACAAGGAUUUCCUCAGUAAUGGCGAGCGAACUGGGAAUAGCCUAACUUGAGAAUCGGACGACCACGCUAUUUGAAUUGUAUUUUGGAGAAGCGCUCUUAGCAGCGGAUCGGGGUCGAGUCCCCUGGAAUGGGGCGCCUUUAUGGGUGAGAGCCCCAUUGCUGCUGGACCCUGUCACACCACGAGGCACUGUUGGCGAGUCGGGUUGUUUGGGAAUGCAGCACCAAUCGGGCGGUAAAUUCCAUCCAAGGCUAAAUACAGGCGAGAGACCGAUAUCUAAAAAGUACCGUGAGGGAAAGAUGAAAAGGACUUUGAAAAGAGAGUCAAAGAGUGCUUGAAAUUAUUGGGAGGGAAGCAGAUGGGGGCCGGUGAUACGUCUCGGUCAGAUGUGGAAUGGCAAGAGCCGGUCCACCAAUCGACUCGGGGCGCAGACCAGCACGGAUCGAUGCAGCGCUCAAAGUUUGGGUGGUCGAUAUGCUCGUUGUAUGGCAUCGCGCCGAUCCAGGCAGACAGCGCGCACCUCAUGCGUGCCUCGGUAACUGGCCUGCGAGCUCCCCAUUCGACCUGUCUUGAAACACGUACUAAGGAGUCUGACAUGUGCGCGAGUCAAUGGGCGAUUGAACUCGUAAGGCGCAAGGAAGCAGACCGGUGUGAUCCCCCCAAGGGGUGCACCGCCGACCAACCUUCAUCUUCUGAGAAGGGUUCGAGUGAGCGUACCUGUCGGGAUCCGAAAGAUGGUGAACUAUGCCUGAGCAGGGCGAAGCUAGAGGAAACUUUGGUGGAGGCCCACAGCGAUACUGACGUGCAAAUCAUUCUUCUGACUUGGGUAUAAGGGCGAAAGACUAAUCGAACCGUGUAGUAGCUAGUUCCCUCCGAAGUUUCCCUCAGGAUAUCUGGAGCUCUAGUGCGAGUUCUAUCGGGUAAAGCUAAUGAUUAGAGGCAUCGGGAGUGCAACGCCCUCGACCUAUUCUCAAACUUUAAUAGGUAGGACGGCAUGGCUGCUCCGUUGAGCGGCGCUGGAGAAUCGUGAGUUCAAGUGGGCCAUUUUUGGUAAGCAGAACUGGAAAUGCAGGAUGAACCGGAAGCUCGGUUAAAGUGCCCAACUGCGCACUAACCUAAAUCCCACAAAGGGUGUUGGUCAAUUAAGACAGCAGGACGGUGGUCAUGGAAGUUGAAAUCCGCUAAGGAGUGUGUAACAACUCACUUGCUGAAUCAACUAGCCCCAAAAAUGGAUGGCGCUAAAGCGUGCGACCUAUACUCGGCCGUUGGGGCAAGGGCUAAGCCCCGAUGAGUACGAGGGCACAGCAGUCACUGUAAAACAAUAGGCGCGAGCCCGGGCGGAGCGACUGUCGGUGCGGAUCUUGGUGGUAGUAGCAAAUAUUCAAAUGAGAACUUUGAAGGCCAAAGAGGGGAAAGAUUCCAUGUGAACGGAACUUGUACAUGGGUUAAAAUUCCCGAACUGAGACGCUAUGAUUGACGGCAAUGUUAGGGAGUCUAGAGACAUCGUAGGGGCCUCGGGAAGAGUUAUCUUUUCUGUUUAACAGCCCGCCUACCCUGGAAAUGGCUCAGUCGAAGGUAGGGUCCAGCGGCUAGAAGUGCAUCGCACGUCGCGUGGUGUCCAGUAUGCCCCGAUGGACCUUGAAAAUCCAGAGGAUCGAGUACCGUCCGCGCCCGGUCAUACUCAUAAUCGCAUCAGGUCUCCAAGAUGAACAGCCUCUGGUCGAUGGAACAAUGUAGGUAAGGGAAGUCGGCAAAAUGGAUCCAUAACCUCGGGAAAAGGAUUGGCUUUGAGGGCUGGGCACGUGGGUCCCAGUCCUGAACCCGUCGGCUAUCGGCGAACUGCUCGAGCUGCUCGCGCGGCGAGAGCGGGUCGUCAGACAGAUUGGGAACGGCUCCCUCAGGGGCCUUCCCCGGGCAUCGAACAGUCAACUCAGAACUGGUACAGACAAGGGGAAUCCGACUAUUUAAUUUAAACAAAGCAUUACGAUGGUCCCUGUAGAUGCUCACGCAAUUUGAUUUCUACCCAGUGCUCUGAAUGUCAAAGUGAAGAAAUUCAACCAAGCGCGGGUAAACGGCAGGAGUAAUUAUGACUCUCUUAAGGUAGUCAAAUACCUCGUCAUCUAAUUAGUGACAUGCAUGAAUGGAUUAACGAGAUUCCCACUGUCCCAGUCUACUAUCCUGCGAAACCAGAUCCAAGGGAACGGGCAUGGCAGAAUCAACGGGGAAAAAGCCAGUGGCACGAAGCUACCGUGCGCUGGAUUAUAAUCGAAUGCCUCUAAGUCAGAAUCUGAGCUAGACACGAUACAUGUGCCCACCGUCCGCUCCCUGACCCAUAGUAGGGGCCUCCGAACCCCAAGGGCACAUGUUGUUGGCCAAGCCCCCACAGCGGACGAGCCACGUGGGCCGCCUCGAAGUAUAAUUCCAAUCGAACAACGGGUAGAAUCCUUUGCAGAUGACUUAAAUAUACAAUGGUGUAUUGUAAGUUGCAGAGUGGCCUUGCUGCCAUGAUCCGCUGAGAUUCAGCCCUUCAUCGCUUCGAUUCGUCCCCCUUUCCCGGUCCCCACACAUAAAACCCCGUUCCCACCGCGAGGUUCAGAGCUUUUGGAUCAGAAACAUGCAAGUCCUCAAAAAAUGUUCCAGGUCACGAGACCGCACCGACCUACCCCCACGUGUUCUGAGGGAAAAAUCGAAUGGUAUCUCGUGAGAACGCGCAAGUACAAAGUAAUGGGCAAAGUCAUGGGCAACCCCAGGCACCACCCAUGGGCAAUCCUAAGCAACGGGCGUGGGCAACCAUGGCCAUGGGCCAUGGCAUGGGCAAGCAUGGGGUUGGCACGGGCAAGCAGUGGCCCGUGCAUGGGCCACGACAU